GAUGAACGCUGGCGGCGUGCCUAACACAUGCAAGUCGAACGAAGCACCUUACCUGAUUCUUCUGAUGAAAGUUUGGUGACUGAGUGGCGGACGGGUGAGUAACGCGUGUGUAACCUGCCCUGUACAGGGGGAUAACAGCUGUAAACGGCUGCUAAUACCGCAUACGCGCACGAGGAGACAUCUCCUUGUGUGUAAAACUCCGGUGGGACAGGAUGGGCCUGCGUCUGCUUAGCUGGUUGGCAGGGUAACGGCCUAGCAAGGCAACGAUCAGUACCCGGUCUGAGAGGAAGAACGGAAACAUUGGAACUGAGACACGGUCCAAACUCCUACGGGAGGCAGCAGUGGGGAAUAGUGCACAAUGGGGGAAACCCUGAUGCAGCAACGACGCGUGAGUGAAGAAGUAUGUCGGUAUGUAAAGCGCUAUCAGCAGGGAAGAUAAUGACGGUACCUGACUAAGAAGCUCCGGCUAAAUACGUG
rnacentral:rRNA from 1 species